rnacentral:rRNA from 1 species
ACUGGCACUUGGAGAGUGGCAAGUCUUCCAGUAUGGGGAGCAAAACAGCUAUGGGUCAAGUCCGAUAUCUUUAGGAGAAGUCUUAUUGUGAGGGCGAGUUAUAUAACACCAUAGGACUGGCCGUCCCAUAUGAAAAGAUUAUAUUAGAAUUGAAUGAAGCUUUGUUUAUAUAUUGAUAAUGACAGUAUAUAUAUCGUGUCUUGACUAAUUGCGUGCCAGCAGUCGCGGUAAUACGUAAGAGACUAGUGUUAUUCAUCUUAAUUAGGUUUAAAGGGUACCCAGACGGUCAAUAUAGCUUAUAAAAUGUUAGUACUUGACUAGAGUUUUAUGUAAGAGGGCAGUACUUGAGGAGGAGAGAUGAAAUUUCGUGAUACCAAAGGGACUCUGUAAAGGCGAAGGCAGCCCUCUAUGUAAAAACUGACGUUGAAGGACGAAGGCACAGAGAACAAACAGGAUUAGAUACCCAAGUAGUCUUUGCAGUAAAUGAUGAAUGCCAUAGGUUAGAUUGGUCAAUUAUAGUCUAGGGUUAGUCUAGCAAACUAAUACCCUAUGCUAUAAUCCUAAUAUCUGGUCUAUAAAUGAAAGUGUAAGCAUUUCACCUCAAGAGUAAUGUGGCAACGCAGGAACUGAAAUCACUAGACCGUUUCUGACACCAGUAGUGAAGUAUGUUAUUUAAUUCGAUAAUCCGCAA